rnacentral:rRNA from 1 species
AUGGCGCCGCCCCGCGUCGGCCUGCUCCUCGCCCUCGCCUUGUGCCUCGCGUUCGCGCGUGCCGACGCGGCCGUGAGGGACCUCAAGGUCGGGUACUACGCGCAGACGUGCCCCCGCGCGGAGGAGAUCGUGCGCCGCGUCAUGGCCCGCGCGCUCGCGCGCGAGGCCCGCAGCGUCGCCUCCGUCAUGCGUCUCCAGUUCCACGACUGCUUCGUCAACGGAUGCGACGGGUCGGUGCUGAUGGACGCGACGCCGACGAUGGCGGGGGAGAAGGAGGCGCUCUCCAACAUCAACUCCCUCCGCUCCUUCGAGGUCGUGGACGAGGUCAAGAGCGCCCUCGAGGAGCAGUGCCCCGGCAUCGUCUCCUGCGCCGACAUCAUCAUCAUGGCCGCCCGCGACGCCGUCGUGCUGACUGGUGGACCCAACUGGGACGUGAGGCUCGGGCGGGAGGACAGUCUGACGGCGAGCCAGGAGGACUCGGACAACAUCAUGCCGAGCCCGCGCGCCAACGCGAGCGCGCUCAUCCGCCUCUUCGCCGGCUACAAGCUCACCGUCACCGACCUCGUCGCGCUAUCCGGCUCGCACUCCGUCGGCGAGGCCCGCUGCUUCUCCAUCGUCUUCCGCCUCUACAACCAGUCGGGCUCCGGCCGCCCCGACCCCCACAUGGACCCGGCCUACCGCCAGGCGCUCGACGCGCUCUGCCCCCUCACCGGCGACCAGAACGUCACCGGCGGCCUGGACGCCACCCCGGUCGUCUUCGACAACCAGUACUUCAAGGACCUGGUCCACCUCCGCGGCUUCCUGAACUCCGACCAGACGCUCUUCUCCGACAACGAGGGGACCCGGCGGGUGGUGACGCAGUUCAGCCAGAACCAGGACGCCUUCUUCAGGGCCUUCAUCGAGGGGAUGGUCAAGCUGGGCGAGCUCCAGAACCCCAGGAAGGGGGAGAUCCGGCGCAACUGCCGCGUCGCCAACGGCGGGCGGCCGCCGCUGGAGAAGCAGGUCGCGCCGUUCCGGGUGGUGGACUUCUGA